GAUGAACGCUGGCGGCGCGCUUAACACAUGCAAGUCGAACGGGAAUUACUUUAUGGUCCCUUCGGGCGAAUUACUUUCAUUCUAGCGGCGAACGGGUGAGUAACGCGUGAGUAACCUGCCUCGUACAGGGGGAUAACCUCCAGAAAUGACUGCUAAUACCGCAUAAGACUCCAAGACCUCCUGGUGCUGAGUGAAAAACUCCGGCGGUAUAAGAUGGACCCGCGUCGGAUUAGCUAGUUGGCGAGGUAACGGCCCACCAAGGCGACGAUCCAUAGCCGGCCUGAGAGGGUGAACGGCCACAUUGGAACUGAGACACGGCCCAAACUCCUACGGGAGGCAGCAGUGGGGAAUCUUGCACAAUGGGGGAAACCCUGAUGCAGCGACGCCGCGUGAACGAAGAAGGAUCUCGAAAUGUAAACUUCUGUCCUCUGGGAAGAUAAUGACGGUACCUGACUAAGAAGCCCCGGCUAACUACGUGCCAGCAGCCGCGGUAAUACGUAGGGGGCAAGCGUUAUCCGGAUUUACUGGGUGUAAAGGGAGCGUAGACGGAUGGACAAGUCUGAUGUGAAAGGCUGGGGCUCACCUCUUCUACUGCUUUGAAAAGUGCCCCUCUUGAGUGCCGGAGAGGUUUGCAGAAUUCCUAGUGUAGCGGUGGAAUGCGUAUAUAAUAGGAGGAACCCCAGUGGCGAAGGCGGCCUACUGGACGGUAACUGACGUUGAGGCUCGAAAGCUGUGGGGAGCCAACCGGAUUAGAUUCCCUGGUAGUUCCCGCCAUUAACGAUGAAUUCUAGGUGUUGGGGAGCCAAGCUCUUCGGCGCCGCCGCACACGCAUUACGCUUUCCACGUGGAGAGUACGUUCGCACGAAUGAAUCUCAAAGGAAUUGGCGGGGACCCGCACACACGGUGGCGCAUGUGGUAUAUAUUAAACCACACGCGAAGACCCUUCCCAAGUCUAGACAUCCCUCUGGCCGGAAGUUAUCCGUUCCUUUCCUUCGGGACAGAGGAGCCAGGUGGUCCAUGGUGUUCUUCAGCUCGUUUCGUGAGAUGUUGGGUUAAUUCCCCCAACGAGCCCACCCCCUAUCCUCAGUAGCCACCAUUUAAGAUGGGCACUCUGGGGAGACUGCCAGGGAUAACUUGGAGGAAGGCGGGGAUGACGUCAAAUCAUCAUGCCCCUUAUGUUUUGGGCUACACACGUGCUACAAUGGUGUAAACAAAGGGCAGCGAACGUGCGAUGUCGGGCAAAUCCCAAAAAUCACAUCCCAGUUCGGACUGCAGUCUGCAACCCGCCUACACGAAGUUGGAAUCGCUAGUAAUCGCGGAUCAGAAUGCCGCGGUGAAUACGUUCCCAGGUCU
rnacentral:rRNA from 1 species